rnacentral:rRNA from 1 species
GGGAAUCUACCCAUCUCUGCGGAAUAGCUCCGGGAAACUGGAAUUAAUACCGCAUACGCCCUACGGGGGAAAGAUUUAUCGGGGAUGGAUGAGCCCGCGUUGGAUUAGCUAGUUGGUGGGGUAAAGGCCUACCAAGGCGACGAUCCAUAGCUGGUCUGAGAGGAUGAUCAGCCACAUUGGGACUGAGACACGGCCCAAACUCCUACGGGAGGCAGCAGUGGGGAAUAUUGGACAAUGGGCGCAAGCCUGAUCCAGCCAUGCCGCGUGAGUGAUGAAGGCCUUAGGGUUGUAAAGCUCUUUCACCGAUGAAGAUAAUGACGGUAGUCGGAGAAGAAGCCCCGGCUAACUUCGUGCCAGCAGCCGCGGUAAUACGAAGGGGGCUAGCGUUGUUCGGAAUUACUGGGCGUAAAGCGCACGUAGGCGGAUAUUUAAGUCAGGGGUGAAAUCCCAGAGCUCGACUCUGGAACUGCCUUUGAUACUGGGUAUCUUGAGUAUGGAAGAGGUAAGUGGAAUUGCGAGU